GACGAACGCUGGCGGCGCGCCUAACACAUGCAAGUCGAGCGAAGCGGCGAACGGGUGAGUAACGCGUGAGGAACCUGCCUCUCACAACGGGAUAGCCUCGGGAAACCGGGAUUAAUACCGUAUGGUGAGAGAUGGCCUCGGGUCUGAUUAGUGCAUUGGUGGGGUAACGGCCUACCAAGACGACGAUCAGUAACCGGCCUGGAAGGGUGAACGGUAGCAUUGGAACUGAGACACGGUCCAAACGCCGACGGGAGGCAGCAGUGGGGAAUCUUGCACAAUGGGGUGAACCCUGAUGCAGAGACGCCGCGGGAGCGAUGAAGGUGUUCGAAUAGUAAAGCUCUGUCCUAUGGGAAGCGGUACCAUAGGAGGAAGCCCCGGCUAACUACGUGACAGCAGCCGCGGUAAUUC
rnacentral:rRNA from 1 species